AUGUAACCUGGCUACUUAAAUCCCUAAUUUCCAAGCUUUGAGGUCAGAUGUGCUCCAUGUUUUUUUCUUGGAUUAAAUACAUUGAUAAUCUCUUUGUUUCAAUGAUUGUGGACAGAUAGAACAUUACAACAUUCCAGUUCAUCACCUUUUCCUCCAAGGAACACAAAGACACUUUCUAGGAGAGUUUUCUCCAGCCCCAUGGGCUGCGGGAGGGGCAAGGUGGCUCCGGCAUGGAAUUGUCUCCAGAUCCUGCUUUAGCCAGGAGCAACAACUGCAGCAAAGGCACAGAUGCAGAAUCCCAGUUUGGAGGUUUCCCUAUUCUGGUAUCAUUAACCCUCCCCUGGCCUCUGCUCCGGGUUAUUUUCCCAGCUGCACUGAUUAGUCAUUCCCUUGUCCUCAUCUUUGCUUCGCUGUCUUGCCUCAAUCCCUUCUAUCCUGACGUGUAUUUCCAUUAAUCAAGCCCUUCCCCUGUCUGUUUUUCCUGGCUGGAUUUGCCAAAAUGCUUUAUUUACAAAUAUCUCCAGAAUCGGAUUCUUUUGGUUAAAAAGUGAUGCCAGUGUUGGGUGAAGGAAAGCUGAUUUUUGACAAAUCCGGCGUGAGAAUGAGAACAAAUGGGGACUUUGAUGAAUUGGUUAUUGCUAAGUGUUGUCCUCCUGCGAAUCAACUCAGUUUUCCCUGUUAACACAAGCAGGAAAAAGGAUUUAAUUUCUCUAAACGUUUCUCCUUGAUGAUCUACCUCUCCGGCUUCAAGAUUUAUGUUGCUGCUUAUCAGCAAAGCAGCUGAAUUCCUCCCAUGGACUGCGAUUUCGAGUUGAUUUCUGGCACUUUGCCCUCCCUGGGAUUGAAACUGUGCUAAGGAGAGGCGGUUGCUGUUUUUCAGUGGUAUCGGUUCAGGGUUUUAUAUGGUUUUAAGUUGAUUUCCUGGAGUGAUUUAAAAAAAUAUGUCAUUUUUGAAAGGUUCAAGAGGAGGCAUCAGCUCAUCCUGGAGAUGCUUUAGGCUCUUGCCCUCAUCUAGACGUGUCUCCCGUGCUCUGAUACCUCUGCCGUGAUUUGAAAAGACCUUUAAGUCCAGCUGUAAGAUCAUCUCCCACCCUGUCUUCCCGUUACACCCUCACGGUGGGGCUGGUGAGGACUCUCGGUGCCUUGUUCCUGACUGGAAAAAAAACCCGGCUCCAAAGGUCUGAUGUCUCUAACAGUGCUUGUCUCUGACGAUGACCACGCUGUCCCCAGGGCUGAUCUUGACAUCUGGCUGCCUCACCACUAAGUGAUCUUCCCAGGCUCUUGCUGCUGCAGCAGAUGGGGUUGCCGACUGCUAUCAGAGAUGCUCGAGGUGAGAUAAGUAAGCCUGGAGACCUGGAAAGCCAAGCUUUUGUUUCUGGUAUUUUCAGCUUUACCUCGGUGUGCUGGUGGCUCUGGCCAUGCAAUGGAGAAUUGUCCACAACAGGUCUUCUCCAAACUGUCAUAGUUUCAUAGUUUAGCCCUGACCCAGCCAAUAUCGGCAGCUAAAACUGAGCAGCUGGGCUUCCAAUUCCUUUCUCCCCUUACCCCCAGAGAAAGGGAAAUGAGAGGAAAAAGACUUACUGGUUGGAAACUA